UACGUAGGUGACAAGCGUUGUCCGGAUUCACUGGGCGUAAAGGGUGCGCAGGCGGCCGUGUGUGUGAGGCGUGAAAGCCCGGGGCUUAACCCCGGAAUUGCACCUCAAACUACAUGGCUAGAGCAUUGGAGAGGGUAGCAGAAUUCAUGGUGUAGCAGUGAAAUGCGUAGAUAUCAUGAGGAACACCGGUGGCGAAGGCGGUUCUCUGGGCAUGAUCUGACGCUGAGGAGCGAAAGUGUGGGGAGCGAACAGG
rnacentral:rRNA from 1 species